rnacentral:lncRNA from 1 species
GGGAACUGCCAUACUGUUUUCCAUAACAGCUACACCAUUUUACCCUCCUCCCAACAGUUGACAAGGGUUCCCAUUUUCCGCUUCUUCACCAGUGCUUGUUUCUUUAUAGCAGCCUCCCUGAUGGGUAUGAAGGAUCUCAUGGUGGUUUUGCUUUGAACUCCCCUCAUAAUUAGUGGUGUUGAACAUCUUUCCAAAUGCUAGUUGGUCAUUUGUGUAUCAGCUUUGAAGAAAUGCCUCUUCAGGUCUUUUGCCCAUUACAAAAAAAACAAAACAGGUUUUUUGGGUUUUGAUUUGUGGGAGUUAUUUAUAUAUUCUGAUACUAACCCUUCAUUAGAUAAGUGGUUUACAAAAAUUGUUUCCAUUUCAGAGUUGCCUUUUCACUGUUGAUUGUGUCUUUUGAUGCUUUUAAUUUCGAUGUAAUUCAGUUUAUCUGUUUUUACUUUUGUUACCUGUGCUUUUGGUGUCAUGUCCAAGAAAAUGUUGCCAAAUCCAAUGUUAUGAAGUAUUUAUUGCUGCUCUUAAAAGUUCUUUAGUAGUCAGUCUCAUUUCUGUAAUUACUGUCUAGUCUAUUUUGCCACUUGGUUUAUCAGCUGCAUUUUUCUGCUUUGACCAUUUACUUACAUUGUAAAACAACCAUGUUGAUUUUUAUAAAGAUCAUGAAUUCUUUGUAGAGUUGGGAAGGGAAGCUUUUGCUGGUGAUUGUCAAACUUACUCUCAUUUUUUCUUAUCUUUGUUGUGUACAAAGCUAUCUCUUAUACAAAGACUAUUAAAAAUUUGAUGUGAUAAGUCUGAUAAUAUCUAAUGAGACUAUUGGGUUUGCUCCUAAUUACAUUUUUCUUUAGUAACUAAACAUGCAUGUCCUCCCCCAUUACACUGGGUGCUCUGCUCCGUUUACGGUGUUAGGAAUCCAACCCAGGAGCGUAUGUAAUUAAUUCCUUAACACUGGCAAAGGUGAAAUAUCAUACUUUUUUAAUUGAGUAAAUACUGUCAUUGCUGUUUUGUUCUAGAUCUGUCAAUAUUAGCUUAAUAAUUAUCUGCCUGAAUCUGUUUCUCAAAAUUUUAAUCUCUAGUUUUUGUUGUUUCUAAUCAAAUACAAUGAAUUGUAAUGACUGUCACUGUUCAUUAUGUUAUAAAAUGCUCCUUAUGUUCUGAAGUCAGAGUGGAAGCUGUGAUACUCCUCAGGGCAAGACUUCUGUCUCCUUGUUGGAACUGGAGCACACAUAAUGCGGUUAGUCUUUGGUUCAAGACAUAACAUGGCUCUUCUUUGUUGGUUCCUCGGUGUUUUUAAGAAUGUGGUGCACAUGCUGAAUCUUCUCUUCGGUGUAUAAACCAGGACUUUGGCCAGUUACUUACUCUGCCUGUGUCGUCGUCGCCGUCCCCACCUCCUCCCCAAGUCUCCCCGCUGCCUCCCCUGGGCCGGCGUAAUCAUGGCCCUGAAUGUAGGGUUAUCUUUUACUUGCUUUCUUUUCAUAUAACUUUGGAAAAAAAACUUACCUAAAUGUUUUUAAACUGUUUGUUUUCAUUUUAGUUGUUUUUAACUUUAUAGAAAAGGUAUUACAUCAUAUCGAAUCUUCUGAAGCUUUUCUCCUUUAUCAGUAUUAAGAUUCACUCUUGACCGUGUGUGUUCACUUGGAGUCUCUUGUGACUAUAACACGGUUAACUGAUGUUUCCCGCUGCUUCUCUUAUUUUAAGGGAAAUAGGUAAGUGAUUGGUGGACGCUCUUGUGAACAGAAUUAAAGCCUGACUGACAGGUCGGCACUACCAGUACCCCACCCACCCCCAGCUGGCUGUUUGCUGCCACACCUUUUUCUAUUCAUUUUUAUCUAUAUCUAAUAUAAAAACAUCCAUGUAAGUGGAAAAUACUGUUCUAGAUCAUACAUCUUUACUGACUUGCUUUUUCACUUAGCGAGGGGAGGGUCAGAGAGCACCCACAGGCUGCUGUUGUCGUGCUAAGCGGCUGCGUGGUGUUCUUUUUCUGGAACAGUCUGUGAGUUCUUUAGCUGUUCUGCUGCCGAUCAACGUUUACAUGCUUUCCAGUCCCUUUGGAUGCCGUGGAAUCAUCCUCAUACCCGCCCCGUAUGCACACACGUGGCUGUUUCUCUGGUACCAAGACGCAGAAUUGCUGGGUCACAGGCCGGGUCAGCGCUCAGCUCGCCCUGCGGGCCUCCGGCGUGGGCGUGGGGAUCGCAUCCCCGACUGCGAGUGUCUGUUUGUCCACCCCUCUUGGACACUCUGUGUAGCAAGCUCGAAAAUUUCUGCCUGCUUUGACGGGCGGCGUAUUCACAGUGAGCCACAGAGACUUCGGUGGGUGCAAUGGACUCUCGACAUCUGUGGGUUUAACAUUUGUGGACUCAAUGCUCAUAGGGAUCCCAGAGUCCAAGCCACAUAAUCAUUUUUAAUUUUCUCGAGGUGUGAUUUUUUUUUAAUUACUCAUGUUGUGAGGAUGCCCAGCCGAACACUCUGCAGCCACUGUCAAAGGGACCAAAACUUGGCAAAUUUAGGUCCUGAGGAGCUGAUGUUGGGAACUGCAGGCCCGGGACCUGUCCCACUAGCAUUAUUCUCUCCCCUCGGCCUCAGGUGAUGAGUGCAGUGUCCCCCUUUGUCUUGACAUGACAACUGUGUGACCCGCUAUCUGUAUGUCAGAGCAAGGCCCUGCCUCUGCCCUGUGCUGACUCCAAGGGCAAAGGCUCUUCUAAGUUUUUUAACUUAAAGGAGUAAAAAGCGUUUGCAGUAAUUCAGGCCCGGAGGAGAUGCUGGGACGUCUUUCUCUAACCCCGUCUCCCUCCCACAGAGGCGGGCCUUGGGCCAGUUAGUUGCUGGACUUUCUUUCUGGAGAAUUCUGCCGACGUGAUCUCUGCGGUCCUGCUGUCCCACGUGCGCUGUCUUGCCCUCUGGGUGGUUCAGUUAACAGCACAUGGCGGAGCUCGCUGUAUUCAGGGGCUGCCCGCGGCGCCUCGCUGUCUGCGUGGUGCUCCCUGUUCGAAUUCCCCAUUCCCAUUUCGCGGUACAGUUACAUGAUUUUUAGCAGUUUCCACUGUGUGUGAGGCUGUUCCGAGUGCCUGUCUCCUCCCUGGGUUUUACGUACGUGGCAGCGGUGUCUCUGGGGAACGUUUCCUUUGAGGGGUUUGGGCCACAGCCCUGGGCUUUUCUAACCUGGCCGGAGCCGCAGCUUACACUCCAGGGAGGCGGUUUGCUUGACAUUUCUGGCACCUUUACCAGCUCUGUGUUCUUGACCUUGGUUAUUUAAUGUCAAUAUGAGACGUGAAAGCAGUAUUUCACGUGCAGGUUUGAAGUGUGUAUUUCUAUCGGGAUG